rnacentral:rRNA from 1 species
GACGAACGCUGGCGGCGUGCCUAAUACAUGCAAGUAGAACGCACAGUUUAUACCGUAGCUUGCUACACCAUAGACUGUGAGUUGCGAACGGGUGAGUAACGCGUAGGUAACCUGCCUGGUAGCGGGGGAUAACUAUUGGAAACGAUAGCUAAUACCGCAUAAUAUUGAUUAUUGCAUGAUAAUUGAUUGAAAGAUGCUAUUGCAUCACUACCAGAUGGACCUGCGUUGUAUUAGCUAGUAGGUGAGGUAACGGCUCACCUAGGCGAAGAUACAUAGCCGACCUGAGAGGGUGGUCGGCCAAACCGGGACUGGAGACAGGCCCAGACUCCUACGGGAGGCAGCCGUAAGGAAUCUUCGGCAAUGGACGAAAGUCUGACCGAGCAACGCCGCGUGAGUGAAGAAGGUUUUCGGAUCGUAAAGCUCUGUUGUAAGAGAAGAACGGGUGUGAGAGUGGAAAGUUCACACUGUGACGGUACCUUACCAGAAAGGGACGGCUAACUACGUG